rnacentral:rRNA from 1 species
UACGGAGGGGGCUAGCGUUGUUCGGAAUUACUGGGCGUAAAGCGUGCGCAGGCGGUUAUGUAAGACAGGUGUGAAAUCCCCGGGCUUAACCUGGGAACUGCAUUUGUGACUGCAUAGCUAGAGUACGGUAGAGGGGGAUGGAAUUCCGCGUGUAGCAGUGAAAUGCGUAGAUAUGCGGAGGAACACCGAUGGCGAAGGCAAUCCCCUGGACCUGUACUGACGCUCAUGCACGAAAGCGUGGGGAGCAAACAGG